UACAGAGGUCUCAAGCGUUGUUCGGAUUCAUUGGGCGUAAAGGGUGCGUAGGCGGCGCGGUAAGUCGGAUGUGAAAUCUCGGAGCUUAACUUCGAAACUGCAUUCGAUACUGCCGUGCUUGAGGACUGGAGAGGAGACUGGAAUUUACGGUGUAGCGGUGAAAUGCGUAGAUAUCGUAAGGAAGACCAGUGGCGAAGGCGGGUCUCUGGACAGUUCCUGACGCUGAAGCACGAAGGUCAGGGGAGCAAACGGG
rnacentral:rRNA from 1 species